GAUGAACGCUAGCGGGAGGCCUAACACAUGCAAGCCGAGCGGUAUGGGUAGCUUGCUACCCAGAGAGCGGCGUACGGGUGCGUAACACGUGUGCAACAUGCCCCUAUCCGGGGGAUAGCCCUCCGAAAGGAGGAUUAAUACCCCAUAAUAUAUCUGGUGGCAUCACUAGAUAUUGAAAACCCCGGUGGAUAGGGAUGGGCACGCGCAAGAUUAGAUAGUUGGCGGGGUAACGGCCCACCAAGUCGAUGAUCUUUAGGGGUCCUGAGAGGGAGAUCCCCCACACUGGUACUGGGACACGGACCAGACUCCUACGGGAGGCAGCAGUGAGGAAUAGUGGACAAUGGGUGGAAGCCUGAUCCAGCCAUCCCGCGUGAGAGACGACGGCCCUAUGGGUUGUAAACCUCUUUUGUACGGGGAUAAACCUAUCUACGUGUAGAUAGCUGAAGGUACCGUACGAAUAAGCACCGGCUAACUCCGUG
rnacentral:rRNA from 1 species